GCUGCUCAAGGUAGCACGUAUAUGGAAUCCCAGCUACUAGGGAGGUUGAGGCUAAUGGAUCUCUUGAACUUGGAUGUUCUGAGGUGCUGUGGGCUGUCUCAGUUGGGUGUCUGCACUAAGUUUGGCAUUAAUGUGGUGAACCCCUGGAGCAAGGGCACCAGAUUUUGUCAGGAGGAGCAAACUGGCUGAAGUCGGAAAUGUAGGUCAAAGCUCUCAUGGCUGUCAAUGGUGAGAUUGGUCCUGUGAGGGGCACUUGCAUUUCCUGCCUAGAAAAGAUAGGAAUACCUAUUCUUU
rnacentral:SRP_RNA from 1 species